rnacentral:rRNA from 1 species
UACGUAGGGGGCAAGCGUUGUCCGGAUUUAUUGGGCGUAAAGAGCGUGUAGGCGGCUUUACAGGUCCGUUGUGAAAACUCGAGGCUCAACCUCGAGACGCCGGUGGAAACCGUAAAGCUAGAGUCCGGAAGAGGAGAGUGGAAUUCCUGGUGUAGCGGUGAAAUGCGCAGAUAUCGGGAGGAACACCAAUUGCGAAGGCAGCUCGCUGGGACGUUACUGACGCUGAGACGCGAAAGCGUGGGGAGCAAACAGG